AGGCCUAAGACAUGCAAGUCGUACGCGAACGACCUUUCGGGGUUAAGUAGAGUGGCGAACGGGUUAGUAACGCGUGGGAACAUACACAGCACAGGGGGAUAACCAUUGGAAACGAUGGCUAAUACCGCAUACGCCCUAUUGGGGAAAGAUUUAUCGGUGUUGGAUUGGCCCGCGUUAGAUUAGCUAGUUGGUGGGGUAAUGGCUCACCAAGGCGACGAUUUAUAGCUGGUUUGAGAGGAUGAUCAGCAACACUGGAACUGAGACACGGUCCAGACUCCUACGGGAGGCAGCAGUCGGGAAUAUUGUGCAAUGGGGGCAACCCUGACACAGCCAUGCCGCGUGAGUGAAGAAGGCCUUAGGGUUGUAAAGCUCUUUCAGAUGUGAGGAUGAUGACGAUAGCAUCAGAAGAAGCUCUGGCUAACUUCGUGCCAGCAGCCGCGGUAAUACGAAGGGAGCUAGCGUUGUUCGGAAUUACUGGGCGUAAAGGGCGUGUAGGCGGAUUAUCAAGUUAGGGGUGAAAUCCCGG
rnacentral:rRNA from 1 species